rnacentral:lncRNA from 1 species
UAAUUAAAAAUAAUAAUAUUCCAUUAUGAUGAAAGGUUCUGAACUCAAGUACAGUAAGACUACAGAAAAGGGCAGAAUAAGAACCCUAAACUAGAGUUUAUGGAAGGUUGAUCGCCACCGCAUGGGCUAACGCCGGUCGGAGGAGGCUUGAAGGUCGUCGAACAAUAAAUCAAGACAAAGAGACGCACAAAGCAACCAAGAUCUAUCAAUCCUUCUAUAUUCAAAAUUUAGUAGCCUGGAGCCAUAAGCUCAGCUGUAGGAAUCAUCUGGACUGUGGGAAGUGAAAGCGAUGCUGACAGAGCUUACUGGCAGACUCAACACCUGAUUAAGAGCAUAUACAUGAAUCCAGAGAUAGUUAGCAUCAAGAAAAAGAACAUGUACUCCUCCUCACGGCUGUAAAAACAGAUUUCAGAUUUACUAAAGCUCAUGCAAAUGAUCUAUUCGCAACUCAAGACGAAAAAACAAAAGCCAACAACAGGGGGAAGCACUUUCUAUAUUGCACCCAGAAGGGACCCCAAAAGCCAAGAUCUAACGGUAAAAACUCUUUCCAUCCUGUAUGCAAAUAAGAAAAUCAAUUUAAAAAAAAAAAAACAACAAAGAAACGGUACAUCUAAGAAAUCUAUCGAUUUAUUGGAGAGGGAAAUCCAGUCUCUUACAGUAGAGGAGGAGGUCCUCUCUGCCGGAUACAUGAAACAAAAUAAAUAUAAUUUGAAAAUGGACGGUGGCUACUACGCCACAUUUUCAUCAGGAAAUUUUUUUUAAAAAAAAAAAAAAACACCAAUAUCUAUCCAAACAUUCAUUUGCUACGUGUUAAAAUU